AUACAACCCUGCCUAAUGGUGACUCCCCCAGAGGCCACUGUGCGUCUGUUAAAGCGGUGGCCACCUCUUCUUGGGAAGGUGCAGCUUGUGACAUGAGCUUCGGGGGUAUUGGCUGGAUUUUUACCACACUACACUUUCCCUGAUGAGUUUGGCCAUCUCCCACUUGGCCUUGACCCUGGUCUUUCUCUGUGUCCAAACUUGGAAAGGCACCGGAUACCCUAGCUCUCUCCUCCUCCCCAAGCUGGUCACCAGCCUCAUGCCUUCUCUCUCUGAUCAGGUCACUUGUCUGCCUCUGGCCCUUGGUGAAGAUCUAUCCUAGAUUUCAUUCCUUAAUUUGUGCCCCAUCCCUUCCCCCAGGCUCUAGGGGGAUCUGUCCAAGGUCUGUGUCCCACCGCUUCCCUCUUCCUUCCUGGCUGUCUCAUGAAUCCUGGCUGCAAACCCAGAGAUUUCCAGGAGCGCCUUCGCCAGGCGCUGGAUCAUUGAUGCCCUUGGAGUCCUCCCACUCUCCCCCAGGGCCAGCUUGCAGUCCUGCCGCUCUGUCUGGUGCAUGCCCCAGGGCUCCCUCAUGGCUGCAGAGGUUGAGAAUGCCUCUGAUGCUUCCUAUGUCAUGUCUUCUCGGUUUCAGUAUGAAGCACUGCACUGUGUCUGUGAACUUUGAGCUGUAAGUAGCCCAAGGACAGCGCAUUUUCACUGGGUCCUUUCACUUGCUUCUGCCAAGGGAAGUGGGAAUUAUCUGGCCCAUUUGUGGAGGAAAAAACCAAGGCCCAAGAAAGCAUGGCCCUGGC
rnacentral:lncRNA from 1 species